GGCCCACCAAGGCGACGAUGAUAGCCGGCCUGAGAGGGUGAACGGCCACAAGGGGACUGAGACACGGCCCUUACUCCUACGGGAGGCAGCAGUGGGGAAUAUUGGACAAUGGGCCACAAGCCUGAUCCAGCAAUUCUGUGUGCACGAUGAAGGUCUUCGGAUCGUAAAGUGCUUUCAGUUGGGAAGAAGAAAGUGACGGUACCAACAGAAGAAGCGACGGCUAAAUACGUGCCAGCAGCCGCGGUAAUACGUAUGUCGCAAGCGUUAUCCGGAUUUAUUGGGCGUAAAGCGCGUCUAGGCGGAAAAAUAAGUCUGAUGUUAAAAUGCGGGGCUCAACUCCGUAUUGCGUUGGAAACUGUUUUUCUAGAGUACUGGAGAGGUGGGCGGAACUACAAGUGUAGAGGUGAAAUUCGUAGAUAUUUGUAGGAAUGCCGAUGGAGAAGUCAGCUCACUGGACAGAUACUGACGCUAAAGCGCGAAAGCGUGGGGAGCAAACAGGAUUAGAUACCCUGGUAGUCCACGCCGUAAACGAUGAUCACUAGGUGUUGGGGGUCGAACCUCAGCGCCCAAGCUAACGCGAUAAGUGAUCCGCC
rnacentral:rRNA from 1 species